GAUGAAGAACGCAGCGAAAUGCGAUACUUGGUGUGAAUUGCAGAAUCCCGUGAACCAUCGAGUCUUUGAACGCAAGUUGCGCCUCAAGCCAUUAGGUUGAGGGCACGUCUGCCUGGGCGUCACAUAUCGUUGCCUGAUGCCAGUUUCCUCGUGAUGGGUGACUGUGCAGGGCGAAUGAUGGCUUCACGUGAGCAUUGUUGCCUCAUGGUUGGUUGAAAAUUGAGUCCUUGGUAGGGAGCGCCGUGAUAGAUGGUGGUUGAGUGACGAACGAGACCCAAUCAUGUGAGACCCCUACCGAAUUUGGCCUUCAUGACCCACAUGCGUCUUUGGAACGCUCAUGACGAGACCUCAGGUCAGGCGGGGCUACCCGCUGAGUUUAAGCAUAUCAAUAGCGGAGGA
rnacentral:misc_RNA from 1 species